rnacentral:rRNA from 1 species
CCCGGGGUUGGAUCCUGCCGGAGGUCACUGCUAUUGGGAUUCGACUAAGCCAUGCGAGUCGUGAGGGUUCGGCCCUCGGCUGACGGCUCAGUAACACGCGGAUAAUCUGCCCUUGGGUGGAGGAUAAUCUCGGGAAACUGAGAAUAAUACUCCAUAAGUCUAGGAUGCUGGAAUGCACUUAGACUAAAAACUUCGGUGCCCAAGGAUGAGUCUGCGGACUAUCAGGUUGUAGUCAGGGUAACGACCUGACUAGCCUACGACGGAUACGGGUUGUGAGAGCAAUAACCCGGAGAUGAUAUCUGAGACACGAUAUCAGGCCCUACGGGGCGCAGCAGGCGCGAAAACUUCGCAAUGUGCGAAAGCACGACGAGGGAAUCCCAAGUGCUGGCUCGUUAGAGUCAGCUGUUUUUAUGUCUAAAAAGCAUAGAGAGUAAGAGCUGGGUAAGACGGGUGCCAGCCGCCGCGGUAAUACCUGCAGCUCAAGUGGUGGCCGCUAUUAUUGGGCCUAAAACGUCCGUAGCCUGUUUAUUAAAUGCCUAGGUAAAUUGUGUGGCUUAACCAUACGAAUUCUGGGUAGACUGAUAAACUUGAGACCGGGAGAAGCUAGAGGUACUCCUGGGGUAGAGGUGAAAUUCUGUAAUCCUAGGGGGACCACCAGUGGCGAAGGCGUCUAGCUAGAACGGGUUUGACGGUGAGGGACGAAGCCCUGGGGCGCAAACGGGAUUAGAUACCCCGGUAGUCCAGGGUGUAAACGCUGCUUGCUUGAUGUUGGUUGGGCUCCGAGCCCAAUCAGUGUCGGAGAGAAGUUGUUAAGCAAGCUGCCUGGGAAGUACGGCCGCAAGACUGAAACUUAAAGGAAUUGGCGGGGGAGCACCGCAACGGGAGGAGCGUGCGGUUUAAUUGGAUUCAACGCCGGAA